UGGGAUGUUAAUAUUGAGUGAGUUGAUCUG
rnacentral:piRNA from 1 species